rnacentral:rRNA from 1 species
CGCGUAGGCGGCUUGGUAAGUCGGAUGUGAAAGUCCCGGGCUCAACCCGGGAAGUGCAUUCGAAACUGCUAGGCUUUAGUAAGAGAGAGGAAAGUGGAAUUCCUGGUGUAGAGGUGAAAUUCGUAGAUAUCAGGAGGAACACCGGUGGCGAAGGCGACUUUCUGGCUCUAUACUGACGCUGAGACGCGAAAGCGUGGGUAGCAAACAGGAUUAGAUACCCUGGUAGUCC